rnacentral:rRNA from 1 species
UACAGAGGUCUCGAGCGUUAGGCGGAAUCACUGGGCUUAAAGCGUGCGUAGGUGGUGAGUUAAGUCUGUCGUGAAAGCCCCGGGCUCAACCUGGGAAUGGCGAUGGAUACUGGCUCGCUAGAGUGCGGUAGAGGAGAGUGGAAUUCCCGGUGUAGCAGUGAAAUGCGUAGAGAUCGGGAGGAACAUCAGUUGCGAAGGCGGCUCUCUGGACCAGCACUGACACUGAGGCACGAAAGCGUGGGGAGCAAACAGG